GGUACUCGGUUUCAUUUUUUCCUCCUUUCUCGAUCUUUCUAGUGGCUCUAUACACGUGGUCUUGGCGCGCCGUCUUUGUGCUGUGCCUUUUAGGUGACGUGCUUCCCUCUCCGUGCCUCUCGUGGCUCUAUCGCGUUGUUCUUCUGUUCAUCCAAAUCUGAACGCAAAACAGGCACUCCACACGGUCCGCCACCGAAGAUACGCUGCCGCCACAUACGCGUUGCACACACACGGCGCCGCAGUUCUACUCGCUGCUCUUAUCUCUUCUUUGGUUGGCGCGCCAGCCGUACUUGUCUCAUCGCUUUUCUUUUCUUGUCGCACCCCCGACUGCGCUCGAACAAUGACGACUGAGCAAAACAUUCUGUUGGACCCCAGCAUCCGGGACUGGGUGCUACUGCCUUUGAUUGUGAUUGUCCUAUUCAUGGGUGUGCUGCGCCACUACGUCACCAUCCUCAUGAAUUCCCCCUCCAAGCCAAACAUGGCCCGCAUCUGCAAUGUGAACAUUCAAAACUACGGCCGCAUACUGCUCAGCGGCGGUGCUGCGCUGUCACCCGAGUCCUUCAAGCACCGGGCGGAGCGCAUGCUGAACGGGAUGUUGAAGAAGGAGGUGGAUCCUGUCAACCCGAUGGAGAUGAUGAACGACCCGAAUGUCAUGAUGGGUUUGCUAAAGAACCAGUUUAUGAUGAUGGUGCCGAACAUUGGUAUGAUGAUGCUGGUCUCUUACUUCUUCUCCGGCUUUGUGGUCGCCAAGUUCCCGUUUCCAUUGUCGCAUCGCUUUCGUGAGAUGAUGCAGCGCGGGCUCGAGAUAGACGUGCUCAACUGCAACUACGUCACCUCCCUCAGCCUCUACUUUCUCAUCAUGUCCGGCAACCAGGGCCUGCUCCAGCUGCUGCUCGGCGAGGAUGUCGAGUCGGAAAACCAUAGUGCGAUGAUGAUGCAGCAGAUGCCGCAAGCGUCGGCGCAACCAGUGGACUUCGCCAAGGUGUUCAAGCAGAUCUCUGAUGAGUUGGCGUUUGUGAAGGAUCACCACCGAUGGGGCUACGAAAACGCGCCGGACGUCCUUCUGAAGAAGUGGCGUUCGCAGAAGCGUGCGAAGGGAACGGCGGCGAAACGCAGAUAAGUUGGUGGAGCAUCUGUGACGACAAGAGUGGGACAGACCGCUUUUCUUUUCGAACUCACACGGCCUCCCUCACCAUCUCUUCUGUGCUUGCCUCUUUAAGCAGCAGUGGUGGGAGGGCCCCGGAUGACGCGGGGCCCGAAAGAGGCCUGUGCGUGUGUGUCUGUCCGUGAUGAUGCGAUGAAUGGGGGAGUUGGCAUUUUCGUUUUUGUUGACUGCCUGUGUAUGUGUGUGUGCUUAUGCGCUGUGCUUCCACCUCUGGUGCUUGUCGAAACGGUUGCUGACCGCUUCCCCUACCUCCUCUCACCAUCUCUCUGUUUGUGUGCAAGGGAGUCUGGAGGGAUGGCGGAGGUGCUUUCUUUUUUUUUAUUCGGGAGGGGGAGGGAGAGCGACAUGCCGAGGCAGGACGUGAGGGUGUGGUCGUUUGCUGUGAUUCUCGACCUACCUGCUCGUACCUGGCGACAGUGACACACACCCAUACCAUCUGUAUUGUUGUCGCUGUUUCUCAUCCUCCAUGUUUGCUCCCUGUUUCGUGUGUCGUUGUCGUUCUUCUCUUUGUGU
rnacentral:misc_RNA from 1 species